CAUUAAAAGGCAUAGAUAAUUGACAAAAAAAAAAAAUUACUCGGAGCCAAACUAUUCGCUACAAUGGUUUAAGUAAUGUCGCAAAAGCACAGCAAAAGUUAAAAGAUAACUGCUAUUCGCUACAUAUAGGAACACAUCUCGUACUAGAGAUCUUUUUAGAAUUAACCUAGGUUAUUGACCGUGUCUCUGCCAAGAGUCAACUGCUCUUAGUUUCCCCUCUUUCCCUCUCAGAAGGAUAGUGAUUGAAGCCUCAAAAAUUGAUACCCAUCAAGAAGUUCCUGUAACAGAUCAUCUUCUUCCUCCUCCAAAAAUAGGUCUUCACUUCUUGACACUCUAUCUCCUCUUAUCUCAGUCACAAAAACCUUAAGACCUCCGAAAUCCAAAGGUAAGCUCUUUCUCGCUCCUUUCUUCUCUAACUUGCUAUUUUGUGUUUUCGACUGAUUCUGGGUUCGUUUUAUUUGUAUUUGGUUUCGUUAAUGCUUGUUUAAUUCGGAGGAUUAAUGGAUAAGGGGUCUUGAGAAUUAAUCCAAGUGCGAUAGAUUCAGUUUAAUUGUGUCUAUAUUUAAUUGAUAUGAUCAAUUUUUUGUUCGCUUCACAUAGUGCAGGAGACAACCCAAAACAAAUUAAGGUCUUCUAGAUAUUUGGGUGGCCUAGUUCUUCAUGUGAUCGAUGGGUAAACUAUAUGUUUUCUUUCAUUGUGAUAUUUGCAUAUUAGUAAUCAAAGUCUUUUUUUAUAUUUGGAAUUAGUAAUCAAAAUCUAAUAAUUGAAUGUCAACAGGAAAAAGCCCCAAUUCUUAUUUGUCUUGUCUACCCUAAUUUGAUCUAAUAAGCAAAGGGCUUUGAACUUCUAUUUGUGACAAGCACUCUCACUUGAGGGUUGGAAUCAAGAUUACAUACCGUACAUGCAUGUCCAUAUGAUUAUUUUGAAUAGUAAUAUUUGUAUAUGACAUUAGAAUAUUUUUUGUAUAAACAGUUAACAUCAUAUAUGAUGUUUAUUUGUUAUAAGUGAAAGGCAUUUAUAAUGUAAAUGCAAAUUGUGUUUACCUCUUUCUGCGACAGCCAUCUUGGCUGCUGUAAUUUUUUUUUAUUUACCUCACCAAGUAUUUGCGACGGAUAAAAAGCGUCGUAAUCUUGUCGCAAAAGGUUUUUACAACGUUUUUUUACGUGUCGCAUUUAAUGAUAAUUAUUUAUGACAUAAUUUCUUGCGACACUAAAAGAAACGUCGCAAAACCGUCGCAAAAGGUUAUUGCGACGCCACUUUAUGUGUCGUAAAAAGUGAAAAAGUAUUUGCUACGCGUUUUAUGCCGACGGUUCACCAAGCGUCGCAAAACCGUCGCAAAAGGUUAUUUACGACGCUUUUAGAUCUUUUUACGACAUUUUUCUUAUGUCGCAAAAAACCCCU